ACGGACGUCGCGACCCGUUUGGUGUUGGUCUCAGGAGACGUGUGUUACGUUCGUUGACGCGUUGUCCGCUUCGGUGGGCACGUGUUGCGAGUACGCGUUCGUGUUCCGGCCAGCUCGCCAGACGGUACGUUAAAGGUGGCCGUGACGGUCGUUCGCCUCACGGCGAUCAGCGCUGUUCACGGUACCGGUUUGCGACGAAUCUUCGGGCCUCUUUCCGACCCGUCUUGAAACACGGACCAAGGAGUCUAACGUGCGCGCGAGUCGCGGGGUGUCGAGCAGCGGAGGGUUUCGGCCCGACUGUUGCUCGUUACGACGCGAAACCCGUACCGUUCAUUCGGAAGGCGCAAUGAAAGUGAAAUAGGGAAGAUGGCGUUACCGAGUUCACGUUUCGCGACUCGAUCGCGACCGGUCGCCCGCAUUCCCAGGGCGUCCCAACGGCUCGGCGGCGUUGCGGGCCGUCGUUCUCUCGGGAACGGCGGUCGGACGUCGUCGGUUCGGGGCGCACCUAUAGCGUGC
rnacentral:rRNA from 1 species